UACGAAGGGGGCUAGCGUUGUUCGGAAUCACUGGGCGUAAAGCGCACGUAGGCGGAUGUGCCAGUCAGGGGUGAAAUCCCGAGGCUCAACCUCGGAACUGCCUUUGAUACUGGCGAUCUUUGAGUCCGGGAGAGGUGAGUGGAACUCCGAGUGUAGAGGUGAAAUUCGUAGAUAUUCGGAAGAACACCAGUGGCGAAGGCGGCUCACUGGCCCGGUACUGACGCUCAUGUGCGAAAGCGUGGGGAGCAAACAGG
rnacentral:rRNA from 1 species